rnacentral:rRNA from 1 species
AAUGAACGCUGGCGGCAGGCCUAACACAUGCAAGUCGAACGGAUCCUUCGGGAUUAGUGGCGGACGGGUGAGUAACGCGUGGGAACAUACCCUUUGGUACGGAAUAGCCUCGGGAAACUGGGAGUAAUACCGUAUGUGGUCGAGAGACGAAAGAUUUAUCGCCAAAGGAUUGGCCCGCGUUGGAUUAGGUAGUUGGUGGGGUAAUGGCCUACCAAGCCGACGAUCCAUAGCUGGUUUGAAGGGAUGAUCAGCCACACUGGGACUGAGACACGGCCCAGAAUCCGACGGGAGGCAGCAGUGGGGAAACUUAGACAACGGGGGAAACCCUGAUCUAGACAUGCCGCGUGAUCGAUGAAGGCCUUAGGGUUGUAAAGAUCUUUCAGGUGGGAAGAUAAUGACUGUACCACCAGAAGAAGCCCCGGCUAACUCCGUGCCAGCCGCCGCCGUAAAAC